CAACCUGGUAGCAAUGAGUAUCUUAACCCCCAGACUGGAAUUGGGAAAUACUAUUUUUCACUAAAACUGGGGCUUCUUGCAGAAAAGGCUGAUUCCAGAUUUGGGACAGGACAUGUACCAGAUGAGUCUGGAGAACUUUGUCAUAUCAGAAGACAUGUUCAUCAAGAUACAAACAAAAAGAAAGUUACUAAGAGCUACAUGCAAAGUCAAGAGCCUGUGGAAACUAAGUGAAGGAUACAGGUAGAAGAAUGGAAUGAAGGACAAACAGACAAGGAGAGAGGGGAGGAGACCGGGAGAAAGCAUCUGUCAAUGGAGAGAAAGAGAAGGACUUGAAACACUCCCUGAUCCUUCAGUCCCAGAGGUGUGAAGAACUCCUGGGAAAUGUAUUAUUCUGUUCUAUAAUUAUUUCACAUAUACAUCAAUUUCAUGGCUAUAUCCAGGUAAAUUAGGUAGCUAAUCUUAGAUUUUCUUUCCCCUGUUAUAGAAUAGGAACCACAUUCUGUCUCCACCUCUGGUGUCUUGCAUUGUCUAAUGUCAGAGAACAUUGUUCUGCAAUCUUAUUACCUCCUUCCUGUAACCUUUACCACAGGGGAUGAGUCACAAAUGACCAGCAGAGCAACUAAAUGAUAUUCAGUUUCAGGCUUUCCUUCGCUGACAGUCAUGUGACAGCUUGUUAGUCAUGAGAGAAGAUCUUAUGUCUUAAAAAAAAAAUUGUCACUUUAGGUACUACUAAACCCUUCCUUAGAAAGAAGGAAGAUAGACAAACUCUAUUCACAUUCCUGAUAUUCUUUUAUCAAAAGUACUUCUUGAAGAAUUCCUAGAUAGUUUCCCUCCACCAUCCCACUUUCUUCUCUGUCUCCCUCCCUGAUAUAAAUAAUGUCUCACCUGAAUUGGAUUUUCUAGAAGAUUGAGAACUCGAAGGAUGGGUAAAUUUUUAAUGUAUUCUAUUUCUCUCAGCUCAGCAAUCUGUUCAAUCAAAGAAAAAAAUUAUCAACAGACUAAAUGCACAAAGACAAUAGAAAACAUAAUACAAUAGAAGCCAGUUUGGGUCCUUUAAAUUCAACUUAUUUUAAAAAUUGCUCUGUCUAGCUUUUUAAUGAGAAUUCCACAGAACUUCACAGAACAAGGGAAUUAUUGCAUACCCCUUCUAUAACUGUGCAUGCACACAACCACGUUUUCUUUCUUCUUCUCUAGCUAGGGAACAGUAAGUUUCCUCCUCUUAUCCAUGUUCACUUUAAGGCAGAAAUAAAAUAGCAUUCAAAGUCAGAAAAACAGUACAAAAAUGCACCCAAGGAUGACCUGGUUACCCACCCCACCGCCAUUCCUAGCCUUCCAGCCCCCCAACUUCCUUCCCCAAUCCUGCUUCUGUUACCCUGGUCAUUUAUGACUGGUUAAAGCCUUUUUUUUUUUUUUUGCGAUGGAGUCUCGCUCUGUCACCAGGCUGGAGUGCAGUGCUGUGAUCUCGGCUCACUGCAACCUCCGACUCCCUGGUUCAAGUGAUUCUCCUGCCUCAGCCUCCUGAGUAGCUGAGAUUACAGGCACACACCACCAUGCCUAAAUAAUUUUUGCAUUUUUAGUAGAAACGGGGUUUCACCAUGCUGGCCAGGAUGGUCUUGAUCUCCUGACCUUGUGAUCCGCCUGCCACAGCCUCCCAAAGUUCUGGGAUUACAGGCAUGAGCCACCCGGCCAAAGCCUUCUUACUGCAUGUACAUAUAUGGCUUUAUCACUUUUUCCAACAGAGAAUUAUUUCAAGGUAAAAAACUAAAAAUUGUAUGACAUAUUUCUUGAUGGGUGUGUACUGUUCACCUUGAACUCUUUAGCUAACUUGUACACUUAUGUUUUAUAUACUUUUCUGUAUAGGUUGUGUUUCACCAUUUUAAAAAGUAGGAGAACAGAAAGAAAAAAAAAAGAUUGCUUGACAGUUCCUUAAUUUGACCAGAAAUAGAACUUGGAUUGCGGCAGGCCUGAAUUCUCUACUAAAUUAAAGGCAAAUAGGUUUACUUAAAUAUUCUGUAAUUAGCAUAAUUACAAUUUUAUCUCAAGUGUAGAUAUUACACUUUUGCAAAAAGUUAAUCAUCACUUUUUCAUUUCUAUUUUUCUCCAAUCAUUUCUGCAUGCAUUGGAAAGCACUCCUACAGAAGGGUCACCAAAAACUCCUGAGUUAUCCAACCACAAUACACAGCUAAAAUGCAAACUAGACCCAAAGCCAAGUCAGAGGACAAACAUAUGCACCAUGUUCAAAGGAUGCCAUUUUCAAAGAUACAAUAUGAAAGGUGAACACCAGAGUUGCAAUCUACAACCUGAACACAUUAAUCUUGUUAGAGCAACGUUAUACUAUUAUACACAUCUUUUUCCGUAAGAUGACUAAACUGUCCAUCAGUCUGCCAUUUGGAUUAUCUUUUUUUAAAAGGGAUCAAUUGUUUUCUAUUGUAUUAUUCAGGAAAGUGGAAAAGUAAACUUGUGAACAACGGAUUAAUUUCCUUCUAGCAUUCCAUCUGCUCUUAUUCUUUUUUAUUUAUUUAUUUAUUUAUUUUUGAGAUGGGUUCUUGCUCUGUCACCCAUGCUGGGGUGCAGUAGUAUGAUCAUGGCUCACUGCAGCCUCAACCUCCCUAGCUCAAGGAACCUUCCUACCUCAGCCCCCGACCCCCGAGUAGCUGGGACUACAAGUGUGCACUGCCAAGCCUAGCUAAUUUUUGUAUUUUUUUGGAGACAGGGUUUUGCCAUGUUGCUCAGGCUGUUCUUGAACUCCUGGGCUCAAGCAAUCCACCCACCUCGACUUCCCAUUCCCAAGUGCUAGGAUUACAGCCGUG
rnacentral:lncRNA from 10 species